GGGGAAUAUUGCACAAUGGGGGAAACCCUGAUGCAGCAACGCCGCGUGAGUGAUGACGGUCUUCGGAUUGUAAAGCUCUGUCUUUGGGGACGAUAAUGACGGUACCCAAGGAGGAAGCCACGGCUAACUACGUGCCAGCAGCCGCGGUAAUACGUAGGUGGCGAGCGUUGUCCGGAUUUACUGGGCGUAAAGGGAGCGUAGGCGGAUUCUUAAGUGGGAUGUGAAAUACCCGGGCUUAACCUGGGUGCUGCAUUCCAAACUGGGAAUCUAGAGUGCAGGAGGGGAGAGUGGAAUUCCUAGUGUAGCGGUGAAAUGCGUAGAGAUUAGGAAGAACACCAGUGGCGAAGGCGACUCUCUGGACUGUAACUGACGCUGAGGCUCGAAAGCGUGGGGAGCAAAC
rnacentral:rRNA from 1 species